AUGAACACUGCACCAGAGCAUUGGAGUAGGGCCUACUUCAAGCUAGGGUCUUGGUGUGACUCAAUGGAGAACAAUCUUUGUAAAUCAUUCAACAAUGCUAUUAUGAAAGCAAGGUUCUUUCCUAUAAUCAUAGCAAAUGAGAUCAUUAGGAAAAAGGUGGUGACACAGAUCCGGGAAAAUAGAGAUAAAUCUAACAAAUGGACUAGAACCAUUUGCCCAAACAUUUUCAAAAAACCGAAACUAAACAUUAAGAGGUCAGGGGUAUGUCAGGUUCUUUGGAAUGGGAAGAAAGGAUUUGAAGUUCAAGAAGGUGUGCAUAGGAGGUAUACAGUAACCUUGACAUAUGGAAGUGUUCUUGAAGAUAUUGGGAGCUGUCAGGUUUGCCCUGUAGACAUGCUAUCGGUGCAAUUUGCACCAUCUCUGGACAGAUACAUGAUUACAUUGCCCCAUGCUACAAGAUCUCUGGGUACAACAAGAUAUACGACCAUGUCCUGCAACUAG
rnacentral:rRNA from 1 species